AUUAAUUUCGAUUUCAUGAGCAUAUUUUGGUUACACGUUAAGUAUUUUUGUGCUUGAUGAGAUUCAAAAUUUGUUGUAUAUUCAAGCCCGGCUUUUGUGUAAUUUUGGUGAUGACUGGAACAGAAAUAAAGAUAUUUUAAAAACUGGCCGUGGCCUCACGAUAAAACUUUCUACAAAUGUUCUCUGUUUCAUGUACUUUUAUUUGAUAUCUUAGGUAUAAGCGUAAAUAUAGGGGCUCAUACAGUUUAAGAGGUUGUAAAAUGCAUGACUUGCCUCUAUUUUCAUGUAAACAUUCGAAAUUCUUCGACAGCAAAGUAGCAACUGUUUCAGAUCGAAUGCACACGGACAGCCCACCAGAGACAAUGGCAGGGUACUGAAAUAGAUCGUCACUAAAAAAUUCUGUAUGAUUAAUUUAGAUCAUGUCUACUCUUUCAACAUAAAACAGUCAUUUAUUUUGUACAAACAUUUGGCAAUAUUUACACGAUUGUGCCUUUUUGUAAACACGCGUUGCGUGUAUUCCACGCAACUGCGUGGCUCAUUUUACUCGCGCAUGCUCAGACAAAUUUCCCACCUGUU